GCUGCUACAUUAGCAUGAUUUAGUUUUCUAACCGAGGUGAAUAUAUGACUGAAUUUAACCAUGAUUUAGAUUGUUGGCAUAACAUAUCAGUUGGCGCAAAGAUGAUCAUACCAUGCUUUUCUAUAUUGUUUCCGUUGCACUCAUAGGCAAAACCAAUUUCUGUCCAAUACAUGACUGGCAGCGUAGAACAUGGCCAGGAGCUAGGCCAGGACUAUCACAUUGGAGCAUACUCAGGUUGCAUUUGGUUCCCUUCCAGAAACCAGAAAUUAUUCGAGUAUGAAGGAAAUAAGAUGAUAUUUUUGUAUAGAUCCAUGAUGCCUUCUUUCCUGCCCCGUCGACUUCAGAUUUUUGUAAGAGCAGUCACUCCGGUUUGUGUAAAGGACAUUUGAAAUUGCGUUGAGCUGGUUGAACCUCCAAAAUCUGCUGCCACGGGGAAGAAGGUAACCUUUCCUGGCCACUCGGGAGAGCCAGAGCCUUCUCUUAACGCCAAGAGUAAGAGUUAGAAGAAGUUAUCUGCUGACUUGCACAUCAACAACGAGUUUGUGGCAUGCCUUAAAGGUGGUUCACAACUUUGGUUGGGGUAUGCAAGGUCAAGAAGACAGACUGCAUGAAUCGGGAAAUUGAGGCUGGGGUAUGCAAGGUCAAGACUACAAAUACUAUGAUAAAUUAUGAUUUACUAUUUGAUCUGAUGUUCCAUGGCAAUCAUGGUGUGCAAACAUGCAUUAAAUGAUAGCUGAGGGACAACUAUUGUAGGCUGUGAAGAGAGGCAAUAAUACCACGUAUGGUGAAUGUCUCCUAAGAUAGCUGAAUGAGAAGGACAGAUAAAUUGAUGUGUGCGGGAUACAUUUUGCCAACUGGGCUUUGUGAUGAUUUGCAUACAACGUAGUGAAGGAAUCUGAAGGUUCUCAUGUAUCCCUAAGUAUGAAGAGACCUUAUGUAUGAAAUAGCAGUGUAUUUUGAUCUUAAUAUAAACUGUUGCUGCUAUGUGUAACAUUUUCCCCUGCA